rnacentral:rRNA from 1 species
AAAGGGCGCGUAGGCGGCGAUUCAAGUCAGAUGUGAAAGCCCUGGGCUCAACCCGGGAUGUGCAUUUGAUACUGGGUUGCUAGAAUCCGGGAGAGGUUGGUGGAAUUCCCAGUGUAGAGGUGAAAUUCGUAGAGAUUGGGAAGAACACCGGAGGCGAAGGCGGCCAACUGGUCCGGUAUUGACGCUGAGGCGCGAAAGCGUGGGGAGCAAACAGGAUUAGAUACCCCUGU